rnacentral:rRNA from 1 species
GACGAACGCUGGCGGCGUGCUUAACACAUGCAAGUCGAACGGUGAAGCGCCUUCCUUUUUGGUGGGUGUGGAUGAGUGGCGAACGGGUGAGUAACACGUGAGUAACCUGCCCCCUUCUUCUGGAUAACCGCAUGAAAGUGUUGCUAAUACGGGAUAUUCUGGGUCUGUCGCAUGAUGGGUCUGGGAAAGAUAUUGUUUCGGUGGGGGAUGGGCUCGCGGCCUAUCAGCUUGUUGGUGGGGUGAUGGCCUACCAAGGCGGUGACGGGUAGCCGGCCUGAGAGGGUGGACGGUCACACUGGGACUGAGACACGGCCCAGACUCCUACGGGAGGCAGCAGUGGGGAAUAUUGCACGAUGGGCGCAAGCCUGAUGCAGCGACGCCGCGUGAGGGAUGGAGGCCUUCGGGUUGUGAACCUCUUUCGCCAGUGAAGCAGGCCUGCCUCGUUUGUGGGUGGGUUGACGGUAGCUGGAGAAGAAGCGCCGGCUAACUACGUG